AUGAGAGCACUUCAUACCUCCCUUAGUCAAGGAACUGCACCAAUAUGGAAAUUUCUCCAGUCUGUACAGACUGUGCAAGAGAACAGUCCAGAAAUCCCCAGUGGGUUUCCUCGAGGCUUUCUGGUAUGGGUCUCAGCAGCCCAGUGCUGCACUGUUGGGCACAGCAGGACAGGUCCCCAUGGGGCUGAGCUGCAUGGGACAGCUCUGUGCCCAGCAUGGCUCUGCCCCUCUCUGGGCUGCCCUCUGCUGCCUCCAUCCCCUCAGUGCCUCACACCCCCGGGCACGGGGCUCUGUGGGUGGGGGGUUUGUUGGAAAUGCUUUGGAAAUGUUGGAGCAUCAUUGGAAAUGCAUUCAGGCGUCGGUGCUGGGGAGGAAAAAGGUAUUUACAGGAGCAGCCCCCCCCAGAGCAAGGGGCUGAGAUGUGAUGCUACGUGCUGCGGGGAUGGGGAGGGGGAGGAAAGGGCGUUUUUAUCAAAAGGAAUGGAAGAGAAACAUCUCAGCGUGUUGAGCUGUGACUUCAACGAGGAAAAUGUGAGCGCCUGUAGUUUCCCGGAGCCAAAGGGGCUCUCUGUGCUCUCCGCUUUCAAAGCCAAAGCGUGUGGUUUUCUGGCAAAGGCAUCUGUUUCACUGAAAGGAAAGCUUGCCGAGGCGGGGGGGGGGGGGGGGGGGGGGGGGGGGGGGGGGGAACGUGGUGUCCCUCAGCCACAUCUGCAGCCUGCUGGAGCCUCCCACGUUGAGUGGGAACCGGCAGCACCCGGCACAGCCUCGGGGACGGCCGCAGAGCUUGACGUCAGGAGCACAGGAACCUCACGCUUCUUUCUGACGACUCCGUUUUUCAGAGGAAGUCGAACCAAAAAAAAAAAAAAAAAGAUAGAGAUGAAAAAAAAAAAAAAAGAAACCCAAAACCCCCAACCAACCUCAAGGAAAAAGAAUGUGGAAGUGGAAGGAGGGGGGAUUGGGGCACCCACGGGGGCUGCAGUGAUUCCCCUGCAGUGCGGAGAGUGCAUCUGA
rnacentral:lncRNA from 1 species